AACAUAGCUAGAAGAUGAUAUUUUUAGUUUAACCUGCCCAAUGUGAUAAUGAAUGGCCGCGGUACCCUGACCGUGCUAAGGUAGCGUAAUCAUUUGGCUUUUAAAUGGAGUCAGGUAUGAAUGGGAGAACCUGGUUUAGCUGUCUCCAAUUUAAUUAAUCGAAUUUACUGUUUAAGUGAAAAAGCUUAAGAUUAGUAGAGGGACGAGAAGACCCUUAGAAUUUUUUUUAUAGGCAUUAACCUACGAUUUUGUUGGGGCGACAUGGAAAUAAUUAAAACUUUCCUAAUAAACAAACCGAUUUUAUUAAAUAAGAAUAAAUUACCUGAGGGAUAACAGCAUAAUUCUAAAAUUGGGUUUGUGACCUCGAUGUUGGACUAGGAAACUAGCAGGCUAGCCGUUUGCUGUGUGGGUUCUGUUCGAACUAUAAUUCCU
rnacentral:rRNA from 1 species